rnacentral:rRNA from 1 species
AGAGUUUGAUCCUGGCUCAGAAUCAACGCUGGCGGCGUGCCUCAGACAUGCAAGUCGAACGAGAAAGUUCCCUUCGGGGAAUAAGUAAAGUGGCGCACGGGUGAGUAACACGUAGGUAAUCUACCUUCGGGUGGGGAAUAACCCAGGGAAACUUGGGCUAACACCGCAUGAUGCAGCGGCACCACAUGGUGACAGUUGUUAAAGCGGGGGAUUUUCGGACCUCGCGCCUGAAGAGGAGCCUGCGGCGGAUUAGCUAGUUGGUGAGGUAACGGCUCACCAAGGUAACGAUCCGUAGCCGGCCUGAGAGGGCGGUCGGCCACACUGACACUGACAUACGGGUCAGACUCCUACGGGAGGCAGCAGUCGGGAAUUUUGGGCAAUGGGCGAAAGCCUGACCCAGCAACGCCGCGUGAAGGAUGAAAUCCCUCGGGAUGUAAACUUCGCAAGAAUGGGAAGAAUUAGUAGGGGUUAAUACCCCCUAUGAUGACGGUACCAUUUGUAAGCUCCGGCUAACUCCGUGCCAGCAGCCGCGGUAAUACGGGGGGAGCAA